CGUAGGGUCCGAGCGUUGUCCGGAAUUAUUGGGCGUAAAGGGCUUGUAGGCGGUCCGUCGCGUCAGGAGUGAAAACUCGGGGCUUAACCCCGAGCCUGCUUUUGAUACGGGCGGACUAGAGGGAUGCAGGGGAGAACGGAAUUCCUGGUGGAGCGGUGGAAUGCGCAGAUAUCAGGAGGAACACCGGUGGCGAAGGCGGUUCUCUGGGCAUUACCUGACGCUGAGAAGCGAAAGCGUGGGGAGCAAACAGGCUU
rnacentral:rRNA from 1 species